CAGAAGACCAGAAGGAUAAAUCUAUCCAAAAGGAAAGAAAGUGUCCCUGAAAGAAACUUGAAUUGUUUCUAUGUGUUGCUGUUUUGGUUUUUUGUUUUGCUUUGAGAAUUUCACAUUUCCCCUCCUCUGGUGCCUGCAGAUUCAGAAGCAGCCACAGUCAGCACUUACCAUCUCUUUGGGACUGAGCAGUCACUACAGCUUCCUGGCCAGGGGAUAUCCAGAGAAGCAAUCUCCCCAAGCAGAUGACACCCACUCCCACAGAAGACCAUCUAACCAAGAUGACAGAAUCAAGGAUUACCAUACAUGCAAGGAAGAUACUAUGAAAGGAGGCGAACAGCAAAAUGGAGGAACUAAUAUGUGAAGAAGAGAAAUAGUAGAGCAAACAAAGCAAGAACUAAGAAUAAGUUAAUCAAAAAUUUCUAAUGGGAGGAAAGAGCAGUUGCAAACAAAUCAACUUGAGGCCAUGGAAAUAAAAAUUUGAUCCUUAUAGUAAAAAACUGGGGGACUUGGCUCAAGCAGUUGAGUGCCUACUUCCCACAUGCAAGAUACUGGGUUUGGUUCAUCCUAAAAACAGCAGCAACAACAACAAAAACAGAAGACAAGCAAACAAAUGAAAAGACUAACUCAGGAGCUGAUGUGACUCAGUGGUUGAGCACCAGCUUUCCACAUACAAAGUCUGCAGUUCAAUCCCCAGCCCCAGUACCUAAACAAACAAACAAACAAACAAACAAACAAAAACUGAAUGGGUAGAUGAAAUAUUUUUUCUGAA
rnacentral:lncRNA from 1 species